UCUUUUGGAGAUUGCUCCUCUUUGAGUCUUCUCAGUGAGCCUAGGACUAGGCAAGAUCAUCAGAAUCAUCUGCUGGAAAGAUCCUGGCUACUAAGUGCCUGAGACCACCCUGAGCGUGAUGCACUUCAAACUCAGCCAUCUCAUCCCUGAGCCUGAAUAUUUAACGGUUGUCUUAUCAGUGUGCAGACUCUGGAAUUUCCUUUUUCUUUUUGAUGGGUAUCAGAGUGCAAAAGGUCCAGCUGAUAAAAUUCUCUAAUGAUCUGAAGGAGUAUCAGAGAUUCUGCCUGUAGCCCACUGCUUGGGAACCCUUUGUCUAAGCAGACCUGCAUGAUGUGAAGCCCUGUGUUAUGUGCUGCUGGAAGGAGAGGAGAUCCUUGAUGUCCCAUCAGAUGCUUCCCGUAGCUUGAACUGUUUUUCUAGUUCUACUACUAAAUUAGUAUGCUGGACAGGUUGUGGAAAAACUCAUCCUUGGAGAAUUUCAAAAAGGCCCUAAGCAAUCUGAUCUGGUUUUGAUGUUAAAUGUGCCUUGAGCUGUAUGUUUGACUGGAUAGCCUCCCAUGGCUACUUCAUACCUAAAUUACUUACGAUGACUUAUAUUAUUCUGUCAUUGGGUGAGUAAAAUCUCUUUGAAUAAGAACUUUAAUUCUUUUGUCUUGUAAGUAUUUAAGGAGGCAUAGGAAAGUUGAGGCUUGGUUGUCUCUAAGUGAAAGCACAGACCUUCAGUGCUGUAUUUGAAGCAAUUGUGAAUACUCCAAAAUGCACUGAUGUAAAUGUACCUAAUAUCAGAGAUGAUCUUGAUUUUUGUUUUCUUUGUGGAUUUGCCUUUACUUUUUGCACAGUUGGUGCACAGUUCAUUACAGAUGUUUUAUUUAAGUAGAAUUUUGGUGUAUUAAAUGAGUUUCCAACAGACCUUAAGUUUUGUAGUCUUUUUCGUAGGACAUUUACUAACUGCUCUGUAUGCCUCUUUUGGAGUUUGAAGAAAGAGUUCUAAACUUACACCUUCCAAUGUCAAACUAAAAAGUAGUCUUUGGAAGAAAAACAACAGAUCAUUUGGCAGUGCAUGUGUAUAAUUAAAAAAAAAAAAAAAAAACAUGAAACAACCCACAACUGUUUUAAUACUGUCCUGAAACAAAUCACAAGAACUUUUGUGCUUUUUUGCUGAAAUAGCUUCAGGUUUUCACAAUACAGCAAAGUUGGAUCUUUUAUUAAGAAAUCUUCUCAAUAAUAACUUCCUUGUUCCUUUGAAACCUGGCUUCUUGGUGCACUUGCAAAAUAUUAAAGAAUAUAUGCAUGCAGACUACUAGAUCUUUUCCCACCAUGUUGUUGACUGUAAGGAAAUGUGGACUGCGUACGGCAUUACAUUUCUAGUAUCCUCAUUCAAGCAAAAGGGAACAAAAUCUGUUAAUCAUUGGUUACAUAAAUAGAAUGAUAUAUGUAUAUUUAGGUGGUAUAUAGUAUGUAUUACAUAUGCAUUCCUGUGUAUAUCCUAUCUUUUUCUUAGUUUACUGUUUUCAGGCUGACUGAAACAGUAGUUUCCUUGAGAAAAGUACUUGUUUUUCUUCUUUUCAUCUAAUAUCUAAACAGUGUGAUCAGAUCCACGUUCCACUGAAUUCAAUGAAGCAAUUUGGCCGACUUCAUUUAUCCUUUGUUAUAGGUUCUGGUGAUAUACUGACAAUAAUGUUUUAAAUGCUCACUUCCUAUUCAGUGGUGUUAAUUGUUUAUGGAACAGGUGUACUCUUAUUGAGUGGCUGCUCUGAGGUGGAGCAACGCAAAAUGAAAGAGUAAUGCUGAACUUUAGUGCAUGCUUGGUCACUUCAAGGUGACGCUGCUUUACUUUAUCUGUUAUACUACCAGUUAAAUUGCUUCUGGCUCUGACAUAUUUAAAUGUAGCAGCAGCUGUGUGUUCCAGUUCUUAUUACAUUGUACCACUACUAUUCCCUGUUCUGUGUUCUUUGAACAGGUAGCCUGUCAUCUUGCAUGCUAACUUAAAAAUAUGAUAGCAUUGACUCAAAGCAAGUGAGGGUGAAGACUUUUCACAGUCACUGAUCAACGCUGUUUUUUAAAACCUUUAUAGAUGUGGAUGGAUCUGCAGAGAUUUUGUUGCACAGGUGACAAGAGCACUGGCAUAGGCUGUCCAGAGGGGGCUCUAGAUUCUAUUUCUUGGAGAUCUUUAGAGAUGCCUAGGUAUAGGCCUGUGUGCCCUGCUUGAGUAGUGGUUGGGCCAGAUGAGCUGAGAGGGUCCUGCUAACCUCAAGUUGUUCUGUGAUUCUGUGACUGAAAAAACAUGGUGAGGAGGGGUUGUAAGGCUCAGAACAAUGGAUAGCUGAUCAUAGUGUACUUGGAGUUGAAUGACAAGGGAAUCACAGAAUGGCCUGGGUUAAAAAGGACCAUGAAAAUGAUCAUCUAGUUUCAACUCCCCUGCUAUGUGCAAGAUCACCAACCACCAGACCAGGCUGCCGUGAGCCACAUCGAGCCUGGCCUGGAAUGCCUUCAGGGAUGGGGCAUCCUGUUCCAGUGCUUCACCACUCUGAGUGAACAAACCAAGCCCCUGUUUGUGUUUUCUUCUGAAGAGGAGGAAAAAAUGCUUCUAAGGCAUUGGUAAUGGAAGAAGAAUAAACUUACCUUAUUUGACUCCAUGAUCUUUCAGAGUUACUCAAAGAGGCCUGUGAUUAAUCUGGAGUUUUUGUUUUCCAGCUGAACUUUGUCUCUUUUGCUCCUCAGCCAUGUCAUACUAUAGUUGUUUUUUUUUAAUCUGGUUCUAUAGUUGUAAAGUAAAAUGAUUCUAAAGCAUGAAACAGAUACACUUAUUCUAUCUGCCAGCCCAUCUGCAGAUCCCCUUAUUUGCUGGUACUUAUUUGUGCCAAGCAGGUUGACAGAACUAGUUAAAAUGUUAUGUCCCUAAGAAACAUAUUGUAUACAAGUAUGUGACUGUCCUCUGUAAGGAGUUUUGUAAAGAUGUACUGUAAGAUAACUUGUUUGAUUUAAUUAUUUUAUUGAAUAAUGAAUUUAAUGAUCAAACAGAUGUGAAAGUAUCUACAAAGGAAAGAAUGACAACUGAAACAAAUGCUGUCUCUUUUCCUGUCAUGGUUUUCAUUACUUGGUGUCAGCACUGAUUGGUCUAAGAGCUGAAACUUUGUCUAACCAAGGAUACAAAAGAUCUGUAAUUAUUCUUCUUCAUGAUCUCUCCCUUUCCAUUUUACCUUUUUACACAAAAUCAUGCAGUAGUUUUGCUAAAUGGCAGGAUGUUUCUUCUGUGGGCUAAACCUCAGUGAGACAGGACAGUAGUGGAAAUAGAAGGAAUCAGAAUUGUAGAAUAUCCCUGGUUGGAAGGGACCCACAAGGAUCAGUGGGUCCAACUCCCAGCUCAACACAGGACCACCCAAAAAGCAAACCAUAUGUCUAAGACAGACACUUCUUCAACUCUGGCAACUUCAGUGCUGUGACUGCUUCCCUGAAAAGCCUAUUCCAAUGCACUGCCAUCUUCUCCAUGAAGAACCCUUUCUUGAUUCUGGAACGACACAUUUCUUUGAAGAUGGCAUGUUUGCAGACUUCUCUUUCCCAGUGGUGAACAAGUAGAACCUCUUAGCAGAACUGGGUUUCAGAAACGCUUUUUAAAAUAGAUGAUUUUAUUUCAUGUAGAUAUUUGGGGCACUGAAUUAUUAUACAUAAUUAAUCAGUGUCUUCAAAAUUACUCUUAAUAAAGAGAAACCUCUGUAUGGAAGAAUGUUUUAAAGGGAAACAUCACUGUGCUCUUUUUAGUGAACUAGAAGUAAAUUCUGUAUUUGCUUUCUUACCAUGUUUGCACUCUGGCUCUGUAAUAGGUCAUAUAUUUCAAGUUUUUGGGUUUUUAGAAAUGGGUAUGAUAAAAUGCAUGUCACUUGUGGAGUAUACUGUGGGUAGUUUACUUUGUAAAAACCAAUAAUUCACCUUUUUUCUUCUCCCUC